rnacentral:rRNA from 1 species
AUACGUAGGGGCCGAGCGUUGUCCGGAGUUACUGGGCGUAAAGCGUGCGCAGGCGGCGCGUUCUGCCCGGCGUGAAAGCCCCCGGCUCAACCGGGGAGGGUCGUCGGGGACGGGCGCGCUUGAGGGUAUCAGGGGCUGGUGGAAUUCCCGGUGUAGUGGUGAAAUGCGUAGAGAUCGGGAGGAACACCUGUGGCGAAGGCGGCCAGCUGGGAUACACCUGACGCUGAGGCACGAAGGCGUGGGGAGCGAACGGGAUUAGAUACCCCGGUAGUCCACGCAGUAAACGAUGCAGACUAGGCGUGGGGGGACUUGACCCCCUCCGUGCCGGAGCUAACGCGGGAAGUCUGCCGCCUGGGGAGUACGGCCGCAAGGCUAAA